GACGAACGCUGGCGGCGUGCUUAACACAUGCAAGUCGAACGGAAAGGCCCUGCUUGCAGGGUACUCGAGUGGCGAACGGGUGAGUAACACGUGGGUGAUCUGCCCUGCACUUCGGGAUAAGCUUGGGAAACUGGGUCUAAUACCGGAUAGGAGCCAUCUUUAGUGUGGUGGUUGGAAAGUUUUUUCGGUGUAGGAUGAGCUCGCGGCCUAUCAGCUUGUUGGUGGGGUAAUGGCCUACCAAGGCGGCGACGGGUAGCCGGCCUGAGAGGGUGUACGGCCACAUUGGGACUGAGAUACGGCCCAGACUCCGACGGGAGGCAGCAGUGGGGAAUAUUGCACAAUGGGCGCAAGCCUGAGGCAGCGACGCCGCGUGGGGGAUGAAGGCCUUCGGGUUGUAAACUCCUUUCGCUAGGGAAGAAGCUUUGUUGUGACGGUACCUAGAUAAGAAGCACCGGCUAACUACGUG
rnacentral:rRNA from 1 species